rnacentral:rRNA from 1 species
UACAGAGGGUGCGAGCGUUGUUCGGAAUUACUGGGCGUAAAGCGCGCGCAGGCGGCCCUUUAAGUCUACCCGUGAAAUGCCGGAGCUCAACUCCGUGCACGCCGGGGGAUACUGGGGGGCUGGAGACAUGUAGAGGCAAGCGGAAUUCCGGGUGUAGCGGUGGAAUGCGUAGAGAUCCGGAAGAACACCUGAGGCGAAGGCGACCAUCUGGACGACAACUGACGCUGAGGCGCGAAAGCGUGGGGAGCAAACAGG